AGAGUUUGAUCCUGGCUCAGAACGAACGCUGGCGGCAGGCCUAACACAUGCAAGUCGAACGCGAUCUUCGGAUCGAGUGGCGCACGGGUGAGUAACGCGUGGGAAUCUGCCCUGUGGUACGGAAUAACAUCGGGAAACUGGUGCUAAUACCGUAUAUCCCCUGAGGGGGAAAGAUUUAUCGCCAUGGGAGGAGCCCGCGUAGGAUUAGCUAGUUGGUGAGGUAACGGCUCACCAAGGCGACGAUCCUUAGCUGGUCUGAGAGGAUGAUCAGCCACACUGGGACUGAGAUACGGCCCAGACUCCUACGGGAGGCAGCAGUGGGGAAUAUUGGACAAUGGGGGAAACCCUGAUCCAGCCAUGCCGCGUGUGUGAUGAAGGCCUUCGGGUUGUAAAGCACUUUCGCACGUGACGAUGAUGACGGUAACGUGAGAAGAAGCCCCGGCUAACUUCGUGCCAGCAGCCGCGGUAAUACGAAGGGGGCAAGCGUUGUUCGGAAUUACUGGGCGUAAAGGGCGCGUAGGCGGUGUAUUAAGUUAGGCGUGAAAGCCCUGGGCUCAACCCGGGAAUUGCGCUUGAUACUGGUACGCUAG
rnacentral:rRNA from 1 species